rnacentral:rRNA from 1 species
CAGUCGCCGCGGGAAUACGAAGGGUGCAAGCGUUAAUCGGAAUUACUGGGCGUAAAGCGUGCGUAGGCGGUUUGUUAAGUCUGCUGUGAAAUCCCCGGGCUCAACCUGGGAAUGGCAGUGGAUACUGGCAAGCUAGAGUGUGUCAGAGGAUGGUGGAAUUCCCGGUGUAGCGGUGAAAUGCGUAGAGAUCGGGAGGAACAUCAGUGGCGAAGGCGGCCAUCUGGGACAACACUGACGCUGAGGCACGAAAGCGUGGGGAGCAAACAGGAUUAGAUACCCGGGUAGUCCCUGUCUCUUAUAC